rnacentral:rRNA from 1 species
UACGUAGGGGGCAAGCGUUGUCCGGAUUUAUUGGGCGUAAAGAGCGUGUAGGCGGCUUUACAGGUCCGUUGUGAAAACUCGAGGCUCAACCUCGAGACGCCGGUGGAAACCGUAAGGCUAGAGUCCGGAAGAGGAGAGUGGAAUUCCUGGUGUAGCGGUGAAAUGCGCAGAUAUCAGGAAGAACACCCGUGGCGAAGGCGGCUCUCUGGGACGGUACUGACGCUGAGACGCGAAAGCGUGGGGGAGCGAACAGG